rnacentral:lncRNA from 1 species
UGCUGAGUAUCACGAACGCUCAAUUCACGAAACCCACGAACAAGUGAAACAUGGGAAAAAGACUACAAUAUGUCGGUACAAAACAAUUUUAAUCCUUUUUUUUUAUAUAUAAAACAAAUCCAAAGAAUCAAAAUAGAUGGCAAAUUAUCAAUUAAACCGACUAACAUGCAUCCCACUUGAAUUUGGAAAGUAUUUUAGAUUAAACAUAAAAAGAGAUUAGC